UCAUGAUUGCCGUCGCCUUAGAGGGAGAGAAAAUGUAAUGAUUAAAUUUCCUACAUAUUUUAAAUUAGAUGCAUGCAUAUAUAGUCGAAAGUCAAUAAUAGUGAAAGUCAAUAAUAGUUGAUCUUUUGUUCUAGGGUUUUAGAAUUUUUUUUUAUAGGUCUUAGUAGUCGAAUAUAUGUUAUAUCUUUCUACACCCUAAAAUAUAGAAAUAUCUUUUCCUUUACUAUAGUUUUUUCAUUUUAUCCACAAUCAUGAACAAUAUGACUCUGGAAUCAAAAAUCAUUUAAACAGGAGACGAAAUCCAGCGUUUUGCUCUUAACCUAAAAGUUUUCUUCUUGAAUUAAUUACCCUCAGCAUUCUCCUUGAUUUGUCUUCACUCAGCAAUGGUUUUUUUUAUGUACCACAUAUUAUUAGUACAUAUUAAAGUGCUUAACAUGCAAAUGCAGGUUGAACAAUUAACUGUUGAUUUACCAGAUUAAUUAAAAGAUUAAUUCUUAUCCCUUCGUUUCAGAUUACUUGUCGUUUAAGACUUCGGCACACAAAUUAAGAAAACAUUUAAUUUUGUAUAUUUACUAGAUAAAAACAUCAUUACCAAUACACCUAACCACAUUUCAACCAAUUAAAAAAUAGAUAAAAAUAUAUAAUCAAUAAAUUUUGCAUUGAAAUUAUAAAACAACACUUAUUUUGAAACAAAAAUUUUACCUUACAAUGACAAGUAAUCUGAAACAGAGGGAGUAUCAGUUUAAUUUAUCUUAUAUAAAGCAAACAAAAAACAAAUCUAUCUUAUAUAUAUAAUAGGCUUUGCUUCUCUCCCACCUAUGCCAACAAGGACGCCACGUCAUAAAUUGUGCUCUUCUGUGCGCGACACGUGUCCUCUGCACUGCAUUUCAUUAAAGUGUUUUCAUAUUGUUUCGGGCUUGGUGUUGGACUUGGUGGUGCGCUUCAUCUGUGGACCAUCGACCACAAGCUUUAAUUAUGUCUUCUAUUGUUCUCCUUCUCAGCCGUAGGAGGUUUUGUGUUUCCAUGGAAACUGAUCAUUCUUCCUCCUGAUCCAUCAAUCAACAGGAGCCGUAGCGAAUUUAGAGUUUCCAGCCAACUAUUCAUCUUCUUCCUACUGAUCAAGUAAUCAAUCGGUUACGAAAUCAUUGCUAUUAAAUUCUCUCUUUAAAUCAAUCUACACGAUCUCUCUUCAAUGCUACUUUAGCUCUUCAAAGGCAGUGGUGGUUCGACUAUAAAAAAGGUUAGCAUCCCUACAAUCUGUAGCAUCCUAUCAAUCUAUUAUAACCAAAGCAAUCUCCUUAUUUUCUGAAAAAAUGGCUAAUGCUCGAUUGGGUCUUUUCGUAUGUGAUUUCUAAGGUUCAACCCACGCUUUCUUCUCCGCCAUUCAGCUACUGCUUACUAAGCACAGAAAAAUUGAUGACUUCCCAGAUCCAAAAGCAAUACGCUAGACGUCAUGUCUCAAUAUGAGGUUAAUUUACUUCUGGGAUUUUAGAAGUUUGAGUGAAUCAAUCAUCUUUUUGAGCGAUCUCCAACAGAAGAUUUUGUUGGUAUUUUUUUAAUGAAAAAUACUGAUGGUACAUUAGUAACAAUUAAUGCUGGGAUGGACAUUGCAUUCCGUCGGAAGAGGAGAAAACCGACAAGUAUUGGCGACGUCGACACCAGAUAUUAAGGCAACAACCAUCAGAUUCAACCUUUGAUUUACAGCAAAAACAGUGUUCGGGUGGCUUCACCUCUUUACCUUCUCUUAUUGCUACCAUCGUGUUUGCUUUCCUUGACAUUAACUCUUUAGCUGGACUACCUGGUAAGGUACAUCAAUGUCUUUUCUUGAUGACUUACUCGAUUUUCAGAUCAAACUUUGCUAAUAAUCUUCAUUUUUCCUUCAGCAAUUCAGGCCAACAAAAACAACUGCUAAGUUUUACGCUCAACUUGAGCUUCACAUUUCAUCGGACAACGUGUGCUUCUGUUUACGAUUAUUAUAUUGCCAUUAACUGUUGAUCCAAAAAACAAAUCUAAAAGCCUACAUGAUUUUAUGUAUGUAGAUAAUUAGAAGAGCUUAGUGCUGCAAGCGGUCAAAUUAUUCUGUUAUCAUUGUAUUUUAAGAUCACAAGAUUCCGUAGCUAACUUGCCACUUCAACUAUACAAGGUAACAUAAAUUCUUUGAACCUCAUAGUAAAAGCUACAUCUAUGGUCACUUUAAUGGGUAUGCCUUUUCUGCAUAUCAGUGGUCCAUUUUUGAAGUGCAAAAAGUGGUACUUGGAAAAAAAGUAAGUUAAAAAAUUUCUUUAAUUCUGGAUCUUUUCCUCUUCAAGAAAAGAUGUAAGAUGGCUUUUCUUAUUUCCAGAUAGACUACUCUUCGUAGUCCUGUUUGUAACCUCAGUACAUGUGAUGGUGAGAUAUGCUUAUUCAAAUUUUAGAAUUGGUGUUAGUCUUUUAGUCCCUCCAAUAAAAAGAUCACAGAUUAAAAUAUUUGUUUCUUUUGUAGGAAUAAUUCAAACACUGACGUUAGUAACAUUUGGUAUUUUAAAUGAAAGCUGUAAAAUGGAAAAUGAGAUUCUAUCUUACUGGAUUUCAUAAGUUUCACAGAGACGAGAGUAUAGCUUCUUUCUUUUGUCAAACACAAGUUAUUUGUUUUUUCAUUAUUUUAGUUACAAAUGUGUUUCUAUGUGCUCUUUUGAUUUGUUGAAAAAGAGGUAGUAGAGAAGACGAAUUACACAAACACAUAACAUGGAUAUGUUGAUGAAUGUUUACGAAAAAUAUAACGUAUAUGAUGAGUGACUGGCUAAAUCAAUAAUAGAUAGAUUAAAAGUUGUAUAGGAACAAAAGCAUUUUAGGUGACGUUGAAAAAUAUGCAUAAAAAGAAGGAAAUCUGCUACAUCUAUUUGUAUUCACACCUGGUCAAUUAUAUUUUGCAUUAUCAAGAGUAGUGAUUACGCAAAAACAAACCAAAUGUGCGACUAUCUUUGAAUAAACCAGCUAGGUAACAAAUUCUUUUGCUUAUGAUUGUGUUCCAUUUAUGAUUUAUUGCAGAUAUAGGAUUUAGUUUACAAGUCUGAAGCCCAUAAGAAAACACAUCUAAGUUAAUUAUAAAAUGUAACUAUGUAAGGUCAUAUUUUUCCCUCGCAGACGAUGCUUCUCGAAGCUCUAAUGAAUUAAUCUGAUGCUUCAAAAACUAUAACAAUAAUGCUUCUUUGAUGGUCUGUUUCUCUGUCUCGGUAGGCUUCUUCACCCAUUUUCUCUACCAUAUUUAAUUAGUAUCUUUACCACUCAAACGACUCAUAUCUGGUGGGUAAAUACUAUGAAAGCUUCGAUUGGAAUUUUGAGGAUAUUAGCAUUGGCACAUAUUGAUAAGAACUCGCUACAACCGAGUAAACUAACUAUGGCGGGUAUUUGUUUCUUAACUACCAAAAUUUAUGUCUUUAAAUAGACUUUGCGGAUGUAGAUUUGAGUAGGCUUAUUUUGGAGAUAAAUAGUGUGGAAAAUUAUUGUAGUUCAAGAGUUUCUGAAGUAUUUUGGUGGAAAACAUUUGCUACGAACUAGCUGGGAGACCAACUCCUCCCUAUUGCUCUUAGUCAGACCCUCAAACCAGCUCUUAUGCGGUUUGGUUCCAGUUCCAAGUUGAUAAGAAAGCGAAAAGGCUUUUACUUUCUCUUCCGAUGAAUUUUAUUUGCAGAAACUAAGAGUUUAUUCCGAGAAUUCACUUUUUUUUUCUAAUUAUAGCUGUCACACAAAAAAGUGGUUACAGUUAGUCAAACAAUAACAAACUACUUUAUUAUACCAUUUCCAAAUAUUGAGUUUUAUAAUAAAAUAGUGUUUAAAGCAUGUGUUAUAUUUCAAAUCAUUAGGAAAGACCAAUGUAUUAUCUUCACAUAAGAAACGAAAAUGGAGAUUAUUGCAAAUCAAGCCCAUACUUUAGAGCUUGGACAUGAACUACCAACUUCAGCCAUUUAAUAUUAUAAUAUCAGGGAAAUACAACUGAAUAAUGCAACCAUCCUUCAGCUAAUAAGACGCCUAGCAUAUAUCAAAUAGAACUUGCCCGAGCUCCAACAACGCACUUUUUUUUCAAGCAUAGCCGUAUCAUGGCUCCUGUAAUCAUAGGGUUUAUGGUGAAUAUAACAUUAACAGAUUUCUGAAAUUCAUCCCUCAUGGUUUCUGUUAUUCUAUUAGGUUAUAAUACUUAUUAAAAAAUAAGUGUCAUAUACAUAGGCUAAAAUAAUAACACACCUUAAAGGAAUUAUUGGGCUGCACAGAGUUGUACAUAUACGUCAUGCAUCCUUUUUAUUAGGACAUUCAGUCAAUAAAAAAAACAGUGUGAAUCAUAUCAGUUAAAACUUGACCUUCUUUCUAACAAUAUAAUACAUAGUAUAGACAAGUUGUUUUUAAAUACACAGUGUAAGAGAAGUUACUUUAUUUAGAAAACUAUAUAAUAAAUAUCAUGAAAAUCAAACUCUUAAUAUAAUAUUUUAUACACAAACAUUUAGUAUAAACACAACCAUUCUUAAUAACAAUAAACAUUAUUAAACACCACAAAUUCUAACGUAAAACCCAUCCAAUAAAAAUCUAUAAUAAUAUAGUUCACACAUCAUCACACGACAAUCACAAACAAUUAAAAUGGAGAUCAUAAUAUGAAUUAAGAUCAAUAAAAAGUGAACUUAUAUGAUUUAAAAGAAAAAAAUGAUAAAAACAUAUACACCACCAUAAUAAAAAUUGAAGAUACUCUCAUUCAAAUCAUUAAAAAAUUUAGUUAACUGCAACAAGACUAAAACUAAAUCUUUUUACAACAAAAAAAAUUAAUAGUAAAAAUUACAAAAUAAAUAGAUAAAAUAAUCAUAUAAAAAAAUUUACACAUUAAACAGAAUCAAGCAUUUUAAGAAAAAUAAAAUUGUAGAACAAAAUAUAUAAAGAACAUUUAAAACUAUUUCUAACGAGCAUAAUAUAUCUUAUCACAUAUAAUCUUUCAUCACCUAAACCUUUCUAAAAGACAAAAAGCAUUAUCAUACACAUCUCUUGCAAAUGAAACCAAAACACAAACCACAAAUCAUUAAAAAAUAAUAAUCAAGAUCUAACAUGUAAAGUAUAUCCCGCCCGUAAGGCGGGCCGACCCUAGUUGCAUAUAUAUAGUUAUUUUCCUAUAUAGGCAUCAUCAUUCCAUCCGCUGCAAGAACCAAGAACGGCUCCAUCCGCGUAAGAACGCUCGUCGGAAGUUCUCUACCACGCGUUCCCAUCGCAUGUACCCGACACGGCAGCAUCAUGCUCAGAGUAAUCAUAACCGACGAUGACUUUGAAUACUGCAGAAACUACCUCCUUGGCGUAGUCUCUUGCUAAGCUACGAUGUUUUUGGGACCUAUGUGGUCCAACACGUGCUUAAGCAUAAUAACCUGCAUUGCACGUAUAACAUUGCGGUUAGCCUCCGUGGCCAUUACGUCGAGCUUGUAAGAUCAUUUGGUGGGGUCACAUAAGUUAAAGAAUAAAUAUGAUAGAGCCAUUAAUCAAUUAGCAUAUUUAAGUGGUCGCUAUUGUGAUUAAGAUAAAAGCCUGGGCAUAAGUGUUAUGAGAUAUUUAUAUGUGGAUCUCUUAAGUAAUUUUUAGUUUAUUGAAAGGCUGAACUAGAAAUUAAUUCUCUAUAGAGAGUUAUGGUCCCCAAGGCAACCCUAGCCGAAAAAUACUGAAUCUCUACAUCCCAUCAGUGGAGAACUAAAGUCACAUGGGGUUUGUUUUGGAAGAUCCAUUCCCUAACUUCAAAUCCUAAAACAACUCGACCGAAGGAUAAACUCAAAAUCCUCAAGAACUAGUAUAUAUAUAUAAAAUAGAGUUUCCUUCUCUCCCAGCGUGUCCACGUACGCGGACAUGUCACUAAUUCGGACGUCGACCAUCUGACAUGUGUCCUCUAACAAAAACGCGGCCUUUCAUUAAUGUUACGGACUUACCCGAGUUUCUUUUGUUACAGGCUUUGAAUAACGUUUGGUAGGCUGAAACCAAAACAAAUGCUUGCUCUGUAGUAGCCUUCGUCUUCUUCAAUGAUGAAGACUUCUGGUAUCUAGGGUUCUUAGUUUCUAUCGAACUCCAAUUAGGUCAAUUGACAAUGGAGGUUGUAGAGUGAUGUGUGAGACGCAUCUCCGUGAGGAAUCUCUGGGUGGAGCUCCGAUCGUGUUGUUCCGUCUGAAAUUCAUCUCCUUGAACCGUUAAGGAAAUAAUUGAUUCAACGCCAUUGAUGACCCAAGGAUGUUUAGAGUCCCUAUUAAAUCUCUCCACCACUACACCUUCCCACCUAGGAUUGCAAAACCCCAACUUUUAACAGGCAACUUAUCAGAUUAGUGUUUUCAAUGGGCUAAGUGAUCAUCCAACCUACCGGCUCUCUACGCUUAUUAAUUUUUUACGUCUCCAUGGCAAACCGAUCAUCGCAACCUACCGGAAAGUUUCCUUCAGCACUAUUUUCCGAUGAAAAUCAACCAACCUAGGAGAGACGAAACACAAGAGCUCUUUGUUGUUGCUUUGGGACGUCUGGCAAACAUCUCACUGACUGUUCAGCUUGAACCUGAGUUUUCAAAAAAAUGUCAGACAGAUUGUUCUUCUUGGUGGACCAUUCACAGUAAACGGAAAGGUAAAUCCAGCAUCGAAAGCUAAUAGCUCUUACAAGCAAACUUCUUUUCCCCGGGUGAACAUGUGGUCCAGCAAUUGGAUUUGAUGACUGAUAUGUUGGAAACUCAAAUCUGCGGAAGCCAUUGGAAGGUCCACGUCCCUUUCCAGUUUCCACAGCUGCAUUGUUACUAUUUUUGGGUGAAAUGCGUGCACUCUGAAUGUGACAUGUUAGGAACAGGAAAGCUCGAAGAAGAAAAAGCCUAUUCAUUUCUCACAUAACUUUCCACAUGCUGACGGGAUGUGGUAGCUCGUUUGGUAAGAGCUUUGGGGGCCAAUUGUCAUGUUUCCGGGUUCGACGCCAGGCGGAGGGGAACUGCCCAUCCUGUCAUCAAAUGCGGUACUGGGUGUUGGGCCUUGUCCCCAGCCCAGGUAAAGCCCUCCCGGGUGAAGUGGACCGCUGUCUAACCGGGUCCAGGGGAAUGACCCACGUAAGUGGGGAACCCCUGGAUUAUCAAAAAAAAAAAAAAAAAAAAAAAAAAAAAAACUUUCCACAUGCUGAUCCCCUUGCUCUUCAUCUUUUAGAGAAUUUGUUUUCUUUAAAACCCAAGGACCUACCUACAGCUGAAAAGGAGCAUCACACAUUUCUUUUUUACAUUCGUUGUGAUCCAAGUGGGUUGUAUUCAAAAGCUAUAUUUACGUGAAAAUCCAGAAAGACUGCAAACUCUAUACAUGAUGCUUACUAAGAUUACUAACGGUCUUUCAUGUAAUCAACCGGUUUUAUGGAUUACUCCAGGCGAUCACAAAGUUGGGUAGAGAAGCGAUUAGACAUAUAUUUGGCGAGGAAAUUGGAGGCUUACACAGGCCAUUAGAGCUUCUUCUCAUAUCAUAGUAUCUCAGCUAGAUUUGAUUACUAGCCAGAAAUUUGUGAGGAUUACAAAGAAAACGGAAAGUAUGGAUAUGGUGAUAGAUGUAAAUAUGAAUAUUUUUAAUAUUAUAUAUAAAUAAUUAAUUUGAAGUAAAAUAAAGGUAUUGAGAUGUUCCAUCAAUUUUCAUAUUAAUAUUGUCACCACAAUCCAGCAACUUUAAGUUUAAUUUUAAAUUACAAACUCAUUAAUUUGAUAAAUAAUUUUAUUUAUCUCAAAUAUAAUUUAUUAAAUGUAUAGUUAAUAAGAACAUAAAUGUAUAGUUUCUCAUCAAAGUUGAGAUUUUUCUUUUUCGAAAAUUAUGCAAAGGCCUUACGGAUGGCGCAAACCUCAAAAAUAAUCAUUUACAAUAGUUGUUAGAUACAAAUUCAACUGAGAAUAACAUAACAACUCAAUCAUGGUGGUAUCAUAGAAGCAAAAAAACAAAACAAAAAUUACUUACAUAUAAACUAACCAACAACUUAAAUUAAGAAAAUAAUAUAUCUCAUACAUACCUCUAGCAAAUAUGAACCUAAAACACAAAACACAAAAUUAUAUAAAAAAUAAUAGCCUAAAUUACAAAUAAAAUAUAUCCCAUCUGUAGGGCGGGUCGACCCUAGUUUACUAUAUUUAGAUAUCAAAAUAAAUAUAGCAUUUAAAUGUAAUGUAAUUGUUAUUUUUUAGAAGAUACAAAUUAAAAUAUUAUUGAAAUUCAACUAAAUCUAAAUAAAUAUACAUUGAGAUAGUUAAAUCAAACUAAAUAUAAUUGUUUUUAUAGUUUUAAUUUUUAAACAAAAAACUUAAAAUCUAAAAAUUAAUUAAAUUGAAUAUAUAUUAAAAUAAAACUAUUAUUUAAAAAGUUAUCGUAACUGCACGAUGCGCAUGAAGCCUCCUAGUACCACAUAUUAUUCUAGUAUUCAAGUUAAAACAUGUUUAAUUAUGAAAUUUUUGACAAAUAAAAGAAAAGAUAAAUCGUUUUUUGGAAAUAUAUAUAUAUAUAUAUAUAACUAAAUCAACUUUUAUAUUAUUCUACAUCCAUUUUGAAUGAGUUAGUUCACUAAAAAUGACAAUAAUGAUAAAAUAUAGACAAUAAAAGUCAUUUUUAUAUAAAACAGCAGCAUGGGAGCCUCUCGAUUCAUAUCGCAAAGUUUUGGUGGAAAUCAUUGGACAAACUGUGUCUGCCGAAGAAUCUUGGUGGUAUGGGUUUUCGAAUCUAGAGAGUUUCAACUAGGCUCUGUUGGUGAAACAAGGAUAGAGAAUCCUGAACCAGCCAGAAGGGUUGAUGGCAAGUUUCCUGACAAGUCGGUACUACCUCAGUCAGAUUUUCUAGACGCUGCUUUAGGUGAUCGAUCUUCCCACACCUGGUGCAGUAUUCUUUUCGGUAGGGAAUUGUUACAAAAGGGGUCGAAUCGGUGCAUAGGAAAUGGAAAAAACACUAAGGUAUGGAGUGACAAAUAGUUAAACGAUCCAGUGGAAGGAUGGAGAGCUCCUUGGAUUAAAAACUACUCUUUUAAUGUUUGCCUUAGAGUCUCUGAUCUAAUAAAUGGGCAGUCGAGAAGAUGGAAUCCUCAAAUGCUACAGGAGGGGAUGUAAAGCUGAUUGAUUCUAAAGAACCAACAUGUAGUAUCCAGAAAAGAAUUUUAUGUAUGGAAACAUAAUAAAAGUGGUAGUUUGACAUUUCGAUCAACCUUCUGGCUUGCGUGAGAUAUGAAAACUAAAUCUGUGCAUCCAGAAGUGCUUGAGCUGCCCUCGGUUAAUGGUUUCAAGGAGAAAAUAUGAAAAAUUCCAAUAGUGCCUAAAAUUAAGAUUUUCUUGUGGAAAGGCCUGAGUAGUGCUUUGCUAGUGGCGGAUCAGAUAAUUGCAAGAGGAUGAAAACAGAUAUUAGAUGUCAAGUCUGUGGCUUAGAUGGAGAAUCUAUUAAUCACUAACUCUUUGAGUGUACGUUUGCUAGGCAGGUCUGGGACUUAUCAGGGAUCCCUCACCAGAGAAAUGGAUGCUCGAACUCUGUUUUUGCUAACAUGAAUCGGUUGCUUGAACUAAGAAGUGCAGGGGGCGAUAGGCAGGAUGCUUAAGAGCGUGGUCUUGGAUGAUUUGGGCAAUCUUGAAGAGCAGAAAUGAUCUAAUCUUUUCGGGAACUAGAUGGUGGGCAGCGGAUGUAACUAAGAAAGCUUUACAAAAUUCUGAGGAAAGGUUUAAAUCCUAUCGACAUACAGAU